rnacentral:lncRNA from 1 species
UUUAUUUCUUACUUCCUAUAGUUGGCUAGAAUAAAAAAAAAAAUAGUAAAGCCCAUAACCUACAACCUAUAGUAGCUUUUGAAUAUCUCUGGUUAGAAGGAAAUACACCCCAUCUUCCUCAUCAUACAUUCCUUGAAUUCUGGGAUUUGACAAUUUUACUCAAUCACAAAAAUUUCAUCUAUAAAACCAACCUAAAUUCAUAAUAUAUAUGCAUACACAAUCAAAACUUUUUGUUUAUCCCAAACAUACUCCCUUUGAAUCACCACCGUGACCCACUGUGAGGACCGCCGCCAUAUCGACGUCGCCGUCCGUUCGCACCUCCACCGCUGCCGCCUCUAUGUAAGCUAGCGACUGCCGCGGUUACCACCUCGUUCCACUCUUUGAGGUUUGCAUAUUUUGAGGACGACUUGAUUUGUGGAUUUUUACGUUGUUUGCUAAGCUAAGUAUGGAAUUGUAAUCAGGGAUAAUAUGGGGAAUCAGUAAUGAGAGACUAAUGGAUGUUCAAGAGUAUUUUAAGACUCUUUAUUUUGUUAAAUCAUGUACUUUUAAAUGAACUUAAGACUUAAGGUAUUUUGAGACAUGUAUGUCACCUUGAAUCCUAUCUUUUAUUAAGUGGAUGUGUUUUGGUUAUGAUAUUCGUAAUAGUGAU